rnacentral:rRNA from 1 species
AUUGAACGCUGGCGGAAUGCUUUACACAUGCAAGUCGAGCGGCAGCACGGGGGCAGCCCUGGUGGCGAGUGGCGAACGGGUGAGUAAUACAUCGGAACGUGCCCGGUCGUGGGGGAUAACGUAGCGAAAGUUACGCUAAUACCGCAUACGAUCUGAGGAUGAAAGCGGGGGACCUUCGGGCCUCGCGCGAUCGGAGCGGCCGAUGUCCGAUUAGGUAGUUGGUGGGGUAAAGGCCUACCAAGCCGACGAUCUGUAGCUGGUCUGAGAGGACGACCAGCCACACUGGGACUGAGACACGGCCCAGACUCCUACGGGAGGCAGCAGUGGGGAAUUUUGGACAAUGGGCGCAAGCCUGAUCCAGCCAUUCCGCGUGCAGGACGAAGGCCUUCGGGUUGUAAACUGCUUUUGUACGGAACGAAAAGGCUCUGGCUAAUACCUGGGGCUCAUGACGGUACCGUAAGAAUAAGCACCGGCUAACUACGUG